rnacentral:ncRNA from 1 species
GUCGGGAGGGGACGAAUACAAGACCUCGCAAGAGGAAAUCACUCCGCCGGCUGUGUGUUCCCGGAUUUGAACCUCCCGACACCUUGCG